AAUUAAUUGAAGGUUAACAUGCCCUGAAACAUUUUGUUUGUACAAUUCCUGCUGAACCUCAAAAUUAGUAGAUUUGGAAGUGAUUCAAAGCUUAACUUUUCCUGGCCUGCCCUAUAUUCUAAUUGCUUGCAAGUCUUGAUAUUAAAAUGGCCAAAAUGCCAGUUUUUGCUUGUUACUUGUCAGCUGCUUUUAUCAAAUUCCAGGCCAUUAUUCAGCAAACACUAUAGAAAUGUUUGAAGAGUUGGAUUUCAAGCAUUUUUGUUUUGUGGUGUGGUGCUUACCAGUGGUACAGCUCUAAGCAAGAGAACAGAAAUAAACACAUUUAAAUGUAUUUUGUCUGGUUAGGUGUUAGCGGGUCCUACUAUUUCAUACAAAUGUCUGAAAAAAAUCACUUGACUAUUCCUUUUAUAUAAAAGGCACAGACAAAGUGAUCUCACUUCCAGAGAAAUGACUGUUUUGGAGAAAAAUGUAUUGAUCUUUUAGCUCUUCUGUAAUUAAAUCUGAAUGUACCUCAAAAGAAUCUUUAGACUGUGGUGAUAAGAUGCUUUCCUCUGGAGAAAAGAGGGAAAAAAACAACUGGAAUACAAAGCUUGAAUUUUUGUGACAAAACAUGAUACCCAGGAUUGGAGGUGCAAAGAGUUUCGCUGUCACGUUCACCUGCGCUAUCUGGAGCAGGUAUCUUUCAUUGUAGCCACAGCCAUGGAAUCCAGAUUUCCAAGAACUGGACCUGAAACCCAGGAGAGCUUAUCAGGAUGGGCAGAACUCUGGAACUAGACAUUUUUUAAUUGUGAAUUUUUGAACUGUUGACCUUGCUGUGAGAAAAUAGGCAACGACUGAACAGUAUUGCCACCAGCACCAAUACUGGGAAUUAGAGGACCUGAGCUUCUGUCCAGACCCUUGGUACAAAUUCUGACGGCACUCCAUCCAAAGUGAACUAGGAUCUGGUACCUGGAUUUUUGCCCAUGUUUGAGUCCUACUACCUUACUACUGAAGAAGACACCAUUCCUGUGGACCACUGUGACCCAAGAGGCAUUCAGCCAUGAUGAUGUGGCCUUCACCUCCACUCUUUUCCUGUUCUACCCAGAUUCAACACAACCCCUUAAAGUGAAGUCAGAGCCUCAAACCAAAUAGCUGAAGCUACUUUGUGAUAACAACAAAGCUUUUUGUGAACAACCUAUUCUUAGAUCGUUUUCCAGAGGCUUUGUGGCUAUGAAGCACUUUGAAUGAAAACUAUGCGGAAGCCCUGAGUAAAAGUGAUGCUGCUCUGGAUGAAGCAGGAGUGGGGGGGACUAAAACCCUCUACAAGCCCUUUCCUUCUCACCAUGGUGACAGCCAAGGGGACUUCCUUGCAACACCUAGAGUUCCUCAGAACAGUUUGAAAACCACUGCCCUAGAGAACAAUGUAAUGUUUGACCUGGAUGUCAUCCUGAUCUUUUCUGCUCCUCUACCCAACACAGCCCUUGUUCAGUUGAUGCUGAACAUAUUUAUGAAUACUUACUGCGUGCACAUUUUUAAAAAUACAAGAAGAUAGGCUGUCUUUGUCCCCCAGAAUAUUCAGAUGGACUGAAGGUGGUGUCAAAUGGACCUAAUUUGACAGCUCUCCACCCCCAGAUGGACUUCAGUGAUUCCUGGGAUUGAAUAUAGCCAGAGAGUGAUUCAUACAUACUCUACACUGACAAACCAACUUCUUUCACAAACACCAGACGCUCUAGUGGUACUUGAAGUAUAUGUGACUUUGAAGUCUUGAUCUUCAGAUACCUAAAUAUGUAAUGAAUAUUGAAGCUAAUGCAUCAUUGGGACCAUAAUAUACCAUCUUGUGCAUUUGAUCUCUCAUCAUUAGCCACAGUCUGCUGCUUCAUGUGCAGGGGAUAACCAUUAGCUAUGAAAGUAGCAUUCAGAGACUGGCAACUUUACCUGAAAGGGGCUCAGUACCUGCUUAUCAAUCAUCUUACUCUCAAACUACAAGUCAUUAUAUGACUCAACCAGUGGCAGUUCACUGCUCUUUGGUUUCUAUUCAUUUAAUUACUAUUUUCAGGAUAGACAAACUAAUAACCUGAAAAAAAAAAAAA